rnacentral:rRNA from 1 species
UACGGAGGAUCCAAGCGUUAUCCGGAUUUAUUGGGUUUAAAGGGUGCGUAGGCGGAUUGAUAAGUUAGAGGUGAAAAGUCCGAGCUUAACUCGGGAACUGCCUCUAAUACUGUUGAUCUAGAGAGUAGAUGCGGUAGGCGGAAUGUAUGGUGUAGCGGUGAAAUGCUUAGAGAUCAUACAGAACACCGAUUGCGAAGGCAGCUUACCAAUCUAUAUCUGACGUUGAGGCACGAAAGCGUGGGGAGCAAACAGG